rnacentral:ncRNA from 1 species
GCGUGGGUCGGCCCGCUGUACUGGAUCCAGUGGGCUGGGGGACACCGCCGCCUCCAUCCCCGCGGGCGGCGGGACGGUCCGGGAGGCGGACUCCGCCUCCCGGACCGUC